UGUGCCCAUAUCUUCGAGGCUUUUC
rnacentral:piRNA from 1 species